UUUAUGGCUGGCUAUUGAUCAACUAAGUUUCCAUCUGAAAUGUCAUAUUUUAUUCAGAUAGAAGAACUGUUGGAGGAAUUCUGCUUAAAAAAAUUUCUUGUCCUGAUGUAUCAACACUGGUGCAGAGUCUACAACAAGCCUUGGCCCUUGAAGCUAAAUUCCAACCAAAGCUUCAACUUCUGUCAACAGCCAGCAAUACAGGAGAAAGCAGUGAAAUUAUGUGUGCAAUGAGGGAUGGAGCUGCUCAUUUUCUUCGCUGCUUGAAAGAAAAAUUUGUGUUGGUUUGAAGCCGAUCCGCCCAUCCAGUGUGUCUGCUUCCAAUCUCAAUCCUAUGACACCAGGAAGGCCUCAGUUGCCACGGACACCCAGACUUUGCUUCAAAGAAAAUGAUAAUUCAAGAUUUGGAACACAUGAUUUUCCAUCAACUCCAAAGUUUGGUCGUUCUGAAUCAACACCAGAACUUCACAGGAUAAGAAAGUUGGACCAAUCUCUUCACAUGGUUGAGAGAAACACCACUC